rnacentral:rRNA from 1 species
UACGUAGGUGACAAGCGUUGUCCGGAUUUACUGGGCGUAAAGAGCGCGCAGGCGGUCGAUCAAGUCGAGUGUGAAAGCCCCCGGCUCAACUGGGGAGGGUCAUUCGAUACUGAUCGACUCGAAGGCAGGAGAGGGUAGUGGAAUUCCCGGUGUAGAGGUGAAAUUCGUAGAUAUUCGCAAGAACACCAGUGGCGAAGGCGGCUCACUGGCCCGGUACUGACGCUGAGGUGCGAAAGCGUGGGGAGCAAACAGG